rnacentral:tRNA from 1 species
GGGGGUGUAGCUCAGCUGGGAGAGUACGUGAAUGGCAUUCACGGGGUCAUGGGUUCGAUCCCCAUCAUCUCCACCC